AAACUCUUGAAAAUCCGCAAUAACUUUUUACUGAGUGUACCGAUUUUGAUAAUUCUUUUUUUGUUGGAAAGAAGAUAUCCCUAGUUUAGUACCAUGAUAAGAAAACCAGGAUCUGAUGAUGGGAUCCCAGAGAAAUCGAGGGAACUUCUUGAAAAUCCGCAAUAACUUUUUAUUAGGUGUACCGAUUUUAAUAAUUUUUAAUUUAAUCGAAAGCUGAUGUUUGUCUUGUGGUCACAUAUAAAUUUUAUUGAGAUCUGAUAACUACUUUUUGAGU
rnacentral:misc_RNA from 1 species